AGAAGACAGGAGAGAAAUUUAAGCA
rnacentral:misc_RNA from 1 species